rnacentral:rRNA from 1 species
AUUCCAGCUCCAAUAGCGUAUAUUAAAGUUGUUGCAGUUAAAAAGCUCGUAGUUGGAUUUCUGGCAGGAGUGACUGGCCACAAACUCUGUUUGUGAGUUGUGUCAUUCUGGCCAUCCUUGGUAAGAUCUUUUUUGGCAUUAAGUUGUCGGGUAGGCAAUCUCCAUCUUUUACUGUGAAAAAAUUAGAGUGUUCAAAGCAGGCUUAUGCCGUUGAAUAUAUUAGCAUGGAAUAAUAAGAUAGGACUAUGGUACUAUUUUGUUGGUUUGUGCACCAUGGUAAUGAUUAAUAGGGACAGUUGGGGGUAUUCGUAUUCCAUUGUCAGAGGUGAAAUUCUUGGAUUUAUGGAAGACGAACUACUGCGAAAGCAUUUACCAAGGAUGUUUUCAUCA